rnacentral:rRNA from 1 species
GAUGAACGCUGGCGGCGUGCCUAAUACAUGCAAGUCGAGCGAACGGACGAGAAGCUUGCUUCUCUGAUGUUAGCGGCGGACGGGUGAGUAACACGUGGAUAACCUACCUAUAAGACUGGGAUAACUUCGGGAAACCGGAGCUAAUACCGGAUGAUAUUUUGAACCGCAUGGUUCAAAAGUGAAAGACGGUCUUGCUGUCACUUAUAGAUGGAUCCGCGCUGCAUUAGCUAGUUGGUAAGGUAACGGCUUACCAAGGCAACGAUGCAUAGCCGACCUGAGAGGGUGAUCGGCCACACUGGAACUGAGACACGGUCCAGACUCCUACGGGAGGCAGCAGUAGGGAAUCUUCCGCAAUGGGCGAAAGCCUGACGGAGCAACGCCGCGUGAGUGAUGAAGGUCUUCGGAUCGUAAAACUCUGUUAUUAGGAAAGAACAUAUGUGUAAGUAACUGUGCACAUCAUGACGGUACCUAAUCAGAAAGCCACGGCUAACUACGUG